rnacentral:lncRNA from 1 species
UUCUUUGCAUGGUCUCUUGGGAGAGAAGAGCUACUUCACCCAGCCAGCCUGACCUCACCCGACUGUCCACACCUUCCCUCCACUGACGUGGACACUGCAGCAUCCCCUUCCCAUCGUGUCCCGAGGCAGACCAACCUCAUUUCUUUUUACAGACAGUUGGCUUUUUCUUACCAAGCCCCUUCACUGUACAGAAACAACCCUUUGACAAUUCUUUUGGGAGUCCCCCCUCUCUUUCCCCGACUCCAGCCCUUUUUAUGUUGGUUUAGCACAAAUCUCCCCCCAACCUCCAAACCAGACCCCCUACCAGUCGAUAUUAAUUGUUUUAUAUCUAUUUAAUCUUAUUCGAUGGAGACCAUGCUUCGGUUGUUUUAUACUUUGCCAGGUAAACUUUAUUACCCACCCCACCUCCAACUAUGCCCUAAUUUUUUUAAAAAAGGAAAAAAAAAACACACACAAAAAAAACAAAACAAAACAAACACAGAGACUUUGGGUUCGAGUCUCGGUCUUAAUUCCCUUUCUGUGGCAGGUUUUCUUCCGUGCGUGUGCCUGUGUGUGUGUGUGGAGUGAGUUCUGAUUUGUGUUCGUUUCUCUGUUGAUUUCUCUUGUUGCUUUCUUCCAACCCCGACCCUGGUUUCCGUAUUUCACAGCACCCGGUGCAGAGAGAAGCAGAAGCAGAAAAUAAAAAAUAAAAUAAAGUAAAAAAAAAAAUUAAAAAUUUUUAAAAAAAAAGAAAAAAAAGGGAAAAAAAUUAAAAAGGAAAAAAAAAAACCAAAAGAACUAAGACAUGCCACCCCCGCCCCGCCCCCACUUCCACCCCGCAAUGUUGCUUUUCUUGAUGGUUAAUAAUAAAUACUGUCACGUAGCUGUGUACAAAGAGAUGUGAAAUACUUUCAGGCAAAAAUAAACUGUAAGUGAC